UGGGCGUAAGCGCGCGCAGGCGGUUUCUUAAGUCUGAUGUGAAAGCCCACGCCUCUACCGUGGAGGGUCAUUGGAAACUGGGGAACUUGAGUGCCCAAGAGAAAAGCGGAAUUCCACGUGUAGCGGUGAAAUGCGUAGAGAUGUGGAGGAACACCAGUGGCGAAGGCGGCCUCUUUGGUCUGUAACUGACGCUGAGGCGCGAAAGCGUGGGGAGCAAACAGGAUUAGAUACCCUGGUAGUCCACGCCGUAAACGAUGAGUGCUAAGUGUUAGAGGGUUUCCGCCCUUUAGUGCUGCAGCUAACGCAUUAAGCACUCCGCCUGGGGAGUACGGUCGCAAGACUGAAACUCAAAGGAAUUGACGGGGGCCCGCACAAGCGGUGGAGCAUGUGGUUUAAUUCGAAUCAACGCGAAGAACCUUACCAGGUCUUGACGUCGGCUGACAACUCUAGAGAUAGAGCGUUCCCCUUCGGGGGACAGAGUGACAGGUGGUGCAUGGUUGUCGUCAGCUCGUGUCGUGAGAUGUUGCGUUAAGUCCCGCAA
rnacentral:rRNA from 2 species